AAUCGUUGAAAGGGAAGCGCUUGCGACCAGACUUGCCUGCGGGUGAUCAGCCGGUGCUCUCACCGGUGCACUCGCCCGUGAUCAGGCCAGCAUCGGUUCAGGCGGUCGGAUAAAGGCCCCCGGAAUGUGACUUCCUUCGGGGAGUGUUAUAGCCGAGGGUGCCAUGCGACCCGCCUGGACCGAGGACCGCGCUUCGUGCUAGGAUGCUGGCGUAAUGGUCGUAAGCGACCCGUCUUGAAACACGGACCAAGGAGUCUAACAUCUAUGCGAGUGUUCGGGUGUCAAACCCGUGCGCGUAAUGAAAGUGAACGGAGGUGGGAACCCGUAACGGGGCGCACCAUCGACCGAUCCUGAUGUCUUCGGAUGGAUUUGAGUAAGAGCAUAGCUGUUGGGACCCGAAAGAUGGUGAACUAUGCCUGAAUAGGGUGAAGCCAGAGGAAACUCUGGUGGAGGCUCGCAGCGGUUCUGACGUGCAAAUCGAUCGUCAAAUUUGGGUAUAGGGGCGAAAGACUAAUCGAACCAUCUGAACCUGCCUACUAGAUGGCACACGGACCUCCUGGGUCCGGUAGUCCGCCGCGGGGGUCUCCCGCGUCUGGGCGACACUGUCAGUCUCUCGGGGACGCCUUCCUGGCCACCCGCCGUGAAUCUCCCAAGAUUCAUUCACAGACUAGGUGACGGUGGCCGCGGUCCCAAACGCGGUUAGGAUAUAGCC
rnacentral:rRNA from 1 species